rnacentral:rRNA from 1 species
ACGGGAGCCAGCAGUGAGGAAUAUUGGUCAAUGGGCGGAAGCCUGAACCAGCCAAGUCGCGUGAAGGAUGAAGGUAUUAUGUAUUGUAAACUUCUUUAGCAGCAGAGUAAUAAGGGGGUCGUGACCUCCGAUGCAAGUAUGCUGAAAAUAAGGAUCGGCUAACUCCGUGCCAGCAGCCGCGGUAAUACGGAGGAUCCGAGCGUUAUCCGGAUUUAUUGGGUUUAAAGGGUGCGCAGGCGGUUUUUUAAGUCAGUGGUUAAAUCGUGAGGCUCAACCUCAUCACGCCAUUGAUACUGGAAGACUUGAUUGCGGUUGAGGUUGGCGGAAUUCGUCGUGUAGCGGUGAAAUGCAUAGAUAUGACGAAGAACACCGAUUGCGUAGGCAGCUGACCAAGCCGUAAAUGACGCUCAUGCACGAAAGUGCGGGGAUCGAACAGGAUUAGAUACCCUGGUA